CUACAAUGUCAUGCAGCUGUGAAUUUUUUGAGAAUCUACAUUUCCAGAAGCAAGACCUGGUCUUUGGAAAUGAAAGAGAAUAUGAUACAGAAAGGAAGUGCAAUAAACAAAGCACAGCCGACCGAGGCAGCAUUCAUAGCCGUCACAAAGGAAAAACAUGCUCCUUGAGCAGAAACACCUUGGUUUUUGAAAACAGCACCAUUCUUAGCAAAUCUACGUGCUUUCC